rnacentral:rRNA from 1 species
UCUGCAACUCGACUGCAUGAAGCUGGAAUCGCUAGUAAUCGCGAAUCAGAAUGUCGCGGUGAAUACGUUCCCGGGCCUUGUACACACCGCCCGUCACACCAUGGGAGUUGGAAGCACCCGAAGUCGGUGACCUGACCGAAAGGGAGGAGCCGCCGAAGGUGAAGCCAGCGACUGGGGUGAAGUCGUAACAAGGUAGC